ACUUCCGUUAUUGAUUAUGACGUACUUGUACUGAUUGAGAUUUUAACACGAAAGAGUGGCGAACGGGUGAGUAACACGUGGGUAACCUGCCCAGAAGUAGGGGAUAACACCUGGAAACAGAUGCUAAUACCGUAUAACAGAGAAAACCGCAUGGUUUUCUUUUAAAAAAUGGCUCUGCUAUCACUUCUGGAUGGACCCGCGGCGUAUUAGCUAGUUGGUGAGGUAAAGGCUCACCAAGGCAGUGAUACGUAGCCGACCUGAGAGGGUAAUCGGCCACAUUGGGACUGAGACACGGCCCAGACUCCUACGGGAGGCAGCAGUAGGGAAUCUUCCACAAUGGACGCAAGUCUGAUGGAGCAACGCCGCGUGAGUGAAGAAGGGUUUCGGCUCGUAAAGCUCUGUUGUUAAAGAAGAACGUGGGUAAUAUUAACUGUUUACCCAGUGACGGUAUUUAACCAGAAAGCCACGGCUAACUACGUGCCAUCAGCCGCGGUAAUACGUAGGUGGCAAGCGUUAUCCGGAUUUAUUGGGCGUAAAGCGAGCGCAGGCGGUCUUUUAAGUCUAAUGUGACAGCCUUCUGCUCAACCGAAGAAUUGCAUUGUAAACUGGGGAGACUUGAGUGCACAAACGACAGUGGAACUCCAUGUGU
rnacentral:rRNA from 1 species